rnacentral:miRNA from 12 species
UAUGCUGGACUCCACUGAUGAGCUGUUGGUUGUUACCCAGAUGUGAGGUGUCCAGUUCUGGGACAGUCACAGCACCUUUCUGGCUUAUGCUUGCCA